UACGUAGGGGGCAAGCGUUGUCCGGAAUUAUUGGGCGUAAAGCGCGCGCAGGCGGCUCUUUAAGUCUUGUGUAUAAACCCGGGGCUCAACUCCGGGUCGCAUGGGAAACUGGGGAGCUGGAGUGCAGGAGAGGAAAGUGGAAUUCCACGGUGUAGCGGUGAAAUGCGUAGAGAUGUGGAGAAACACCAGUGGCGAAGGCGACUUUCUGGCCUGAAACUGACGCUGAGGCGCGAAAGCGUGGGGAG
rnacentral:rRNA from 1 species